UACAUUUGUGGUCGAGUGGUCGAAGACACCGGACUCAUAAUCCGUUUUCUAAAAAGAACAUCACUGGUUCAAAUCCAGUCAAAUGUAA
rnacentral:tRNA from 1 species